ACAGCAGCCGCCGCGGGAAUACAGAGGGUGCGAGCGUUAAUCGGAUUUACUGGGCGUAAAGCGUGCGUAGGCGGCUUUUUAAGUCGGAUGUGAAAUCCCUGAGCUUAACUUAGGAAUUGCAUUCGAUACUGGGAAGCUAGAGUAUGGGAGAGGAUGGUAGAAUUCCAGGUGUAGCGGUGAAAUGCGUAGAGAUCUGGAGGAAUACCGAUGGCGAAGGCAGCCAUCUGGCCUAAUACUGACGCUGAGGUACGAAAGCAUGGGGAGCAAACAGGAUUAGAUACCCCUGUAGUCCCUGUCUCUUAUAU
rnacentral:rRNA from 1 species